AACGAACGCUGGCGGCAUGCCUAACACAUGCCAGUCGAACGAGACCUUCGGGUCUAGUGGCGCACGGGUGCGUAACGCGUGGGAAUCUACCCUCAGGUUCGGAAUAACUCAGAGAAAUUUGAGCUAAUACCGGAUGAUGACGUAAGUCCAAAGAUUUAUCGCCUGAGGAUGAGCCCGCUUAGGAUUAGGUAGUUGGUGAGGUAAAGGCUCACCAAGCCGACGAUCCUUAGCUGGUCUGAGAGGAUGAUCAGCCACACUGGGACUGAGACACGGCCCAGACUCCUACGGGAGGCAGCAGUGGGGAAUAUUGGACAAUGGGCGAAAGCCUGAUCCAGCAAUGCCGCGUGAGUGAUGAAGGCCUUAGGGUUGUAAAGCUCUUUUACCCGGGAUGAUAAUGACAGUACCGGGAGAAUAAGCUCCGGCUAACUCCGUG
rnacentral:rRNA from 1 species